rnacentral:lncRNA from 1 species
AGGUUGUUGAUUUUUUAAAAGCAUUUGUGUCCUCUACUCCUUGAACAUCAGCUCCUUAAGGACAGGAGACCCUGUCUGUCUGAGGAGUUACAGCCUGCCGCCUAUAGAUCAACUUCUACAGCAAAUACAAGCCACAACAUCCUGUUUGCAAAAGUAUCUAAUCUUGAAAGUGACCAAAUGUUUGGAAGCAAUAUGAAACAAUAAAAUUUCAUGAAAUGAAAUAGACAUAUCAAGCUGACUCUUAAAUAAAGUAUUGUAGCUGAAUUCACAUGGUGGAGUCUUGGUAAAGCUGGAGUCUGAACGCAGAAAGUUCUCAAGUUUUCCAUGCCUGCUCAGGAAAAGGAGCAAAGCAUCAAUUGUGCAGGCUGUAAUAUGUAAAACACAAAGAAAUAUGAAAGGAUCCCUCAGGAACUUUAACUUCCUAUAUUGGUGAAAAAUGCUUCAAAGUUAGCAAAAGACCAACUUCUAGAGCCUUUGGAAUAUUUUUGAAGGCAAGAGCUUAUGUGAUAUCAGAUGCUGUAAAUUCUUAGCUCACGUCUACAACAGUAUGCUUUCAAUAAACGUUUUCUCUUGCUG